rnacentral:rRNA from 1 species
GCUUGUCUCAAAGAUUAAGCCAUGCAUGUCUAAGUAUAAACAACUUUAUACAGUGAAACUGCAGAUGGCUCAUUAAAUCAGUUAUAAUUUAUUUGAUGAUUAACUUUACUACAUGGAUAACCGUAGUAAUUCUAGAGCUAAUACAUGCGCAAAUUCCCGACUGUCGCAAGGCGGAAAGGAUGUAUUUAUUAGAUCCAACCAGCCCGGUUCGCCGGAGUCCCUGGUGAGUCAUAAUAACUGAGCGAAUCGCAUGGCCUUGUGCCGGCGAUGGUUCAUUCAAGUUUCUGCCCUAUCAGCUUUCGAUGGUAGGGUAUUGGCCUACCAUGGCGUUAACGGGUAACGGAGAAUUAGGGUUCGAUUCCGGAGAGGGAGCCUGAGAAACGGCUACCACAUCCAAGGAAGGCAGCAGG